GGCGCGGAAAGCAAUUGAAUUAUAACCAUACUACAUUUACAAUCAAUAGUCAAUUCCCUUGAGAAACUGUUUUUCACGUCAUACGUGUUUUUGAUUUUUAUAAAAGAUUAUUUUACAGUUACAAUACAGACAUUUUUAUCCUGAAUUCUUAAGCAUGGCAUUUACAUUACUAACUAUAUAAUGAAUAUAAGUGCAUUCCAAAUUGGCCAUUUCAUGCAAUUAUGUAUUUAAUCGACAGUAUUGGAUGUAUAUAUAUAUAUAUAUCUCCUAUAUUUACACUGUGGUAUGUAAUUACACGAUUUGUAUGUAUUAAUGAAAUCGUAAAUACUGUAGUUUAAUUUUCGAUCAACAGAUUUACAUUUAUAGUGCACUAGCUUUGUCAUUUUUUAUUGAACAUUGGUAUUUAAAUUCUAACAAGAUGCAUUACGCAUCAUUCAUUUCAGAAACGUUUCCUAAAAUAAAAAAUAGAUUAACAUAGAUUAGAAGUAAAUAGGACUUUGCAUAAAUUAUCAAAUAAAUGAAAACAAUAAGUGAGUGGAUGGUAUGGCUAAUUUAGCCAGCUAUGUGGGGUCGAAGGUACAACUCACCAC